rnacentral:rRNA from 1 species
UACGUAGGGGGCUAGCGUUGUCCGGAAUCAUUGGGCGUAAAGCGCGCGUAGGCGGUCAGGUAAGUCCGGUGUGAAAGUCAAAGGCUCAACCUUUGAAUGCCGCUGGAUACUGCUUGACUUGAGUCCGGAAGGGGCGAGUGGAAUUCCUGGUGUAGCGGUGAAAUGCGCAGAUAUCAGGAGGAACACCGGUGGCGAAGGCGGAUCUCUGGGCCUUACCUGACGCUGAGGCGCGAAAGCUAGGGGAGCAAACGGG